rnacentral:rRNA from 1 species
GACGAACCGAGCGACCGUUGUUCGGAAUCACUGGGCUUAAAGGGCGCGUAGGCGGGCUGCCGCGUCCGGGGUGAAAGCCCCCCGCUCAACGGGGGAACGGCCUCGGAUACGGGCGAUCUCGAGGGGGGUAGGGGCACCUGGAACUGUGGGUGGAGCGGUGAAAUGCGUUGAUAUCCACAGGAACUCCGGUGGCGAAGGCGAGGUGCUGGACCCCAUCUGACGCUGAGGCGCGAAAGCCAGGGGAGCGAACGGG